rnacentral:rRNA from 1 species
AUUGAACGCUGGCGGCAGGCCUAACACAUGCAAGUCGAGCGAGCGGCGGACGGGUGAGUAAUGUCUGGGAAACUGCCUGAUGGAGUGGGAUAACUACUGGAAACGGUAGCUAAUACCGCAUACUAUCAGAUGAGCCCAGAUGGGAUUAGCUGGUAGGUGGGGUAACGGCUCACCUAGGCGACGAUCCCUAGCUGGUCUGAGAGGAUGACCAGCCACACUGGGACUGAGACACGGUCCAGACUCCUACGGGAGGCAGCAGUGGGGAAUAUUGCACAAUGGGCGCAAGCCUGAUGCAGCCAUGCCGCGUGUGUGAAGAAGGCCGUCGGGUUGUAAAGCACUUUCAGCGGGGAGGCGUUACCCGCAGAAGAAGCACCGGCUAACUCCGUGCCAGCAGCCGCGGUAAUUC